AUUGAACGCUGGCGGCAUGCCUUACACAUGCAAGUUGAACGGCAGCACGGGAGCAAUCCUGGUGGCGAGUGGCGAACGGGUGAGUAAAGUAUCGGAACGUGCCCAGUCGUGGGGGAUAACGUAGCGAAAGUUACGCUAAUACCGCAUACGAUCUACGGAUGAAAGCGGGGGAUCGCAAGACCUCGCGCGAUUGGAGCGGCUGAUAUCAGAUUAGGUAGUUGGUGGGGUAAAGGCUCACCAAGCCGACGAUCUGUAGCUGGUCUGAGAGGACGACCAGCCACACUGGGACUGAGACACGGCCCAGACUCCUACGGGAGGCAGCAGUGGGGAAUUUUGGACAAUGGGCGCAAGCCUGAUCCAGCCAUGCCGCGUGCAGGAUGAAGGCCUUCGGGUUGUAAACUGCUUUUGUACGGAACGAAAAGGUUUGGCCUAAUAAGCUGGACCCAUGACGGUACCGUAAGAAUAAGCACCGGCUAACUACGUGCCAGCCGCCGCGGUAAAAC
rnacentral:rRNA from 1 species